rnacentral:rRNA from 1 species
UGCCAGCCGCCGCGGUAAUACUGAAGGUGCAAGCGUUAAUCGGAAUUACUGGGCGUAAAGCGCGCGUAGGCGGCUUGGUCAGUCAGAUGUGAAAGCCCUGGGCUUAACCUGGGAACUGCAUUUGAUACUGCCAAGCUAGAGUAUGGGAGAGGGUUGUGGAAUUCCACGUGUAGCGGUGAAAUGCGUAGAUAUGUGGAGGAACAUCAGUGGCGAAGGCGGCAGCCUGGCCCAAUACUGACGCUGAGGUGCGAAAGCGUGGGGAGCAAACAGGAUUAGAUA